UGUGUGAAGAAGGUCUUCGGAUUGUAAAGCACUUUAAGUUGGGAGGAAGGGCAGUAAGUUAAUACCUUGCUGUUUUGACGUUACCAACAGAAUAAGCACCGGCUAACUUCGUGCCAGCAGCCGCGGUAAUACGAAGGGUGCAAGCGUUAAUCGGAAUUACUGGGCGUAAAGCGCGCGUAG
rnacentral:rRNA from 1 species